rnacentral:misc_RNA from 1 species
CGAGCGUGGCGGGCCCGCAAGGUAGGACCGGUGCCCCCGUCGAGUCCCGAGCGCAGCAGCAGACCUCGCGUCGCUCGAGCCGACUCUGGCGCGGUGUCACCGCCGGGCGGGAGGCCCACGGGCAUCCCGCCGCACCCAACACGUUGACCUCGGAUCAGGCGGGGAUACCCGCUGAACUUAAGC